rnacentral:rRNA from 1 species
GACGAACGCUGGCGGCGUGCUUAACACAUGCAAGUCGAACGGAGUGGCGAACGGGUGAGUAACACGUGGGUGACCUGCCCUGCACUUCGGGAUAAGCCUGGGAAACUGGGUCUAAUACCGGUUAGUGUUGGCUGGGCCCGCGGGCUAUCAGCUUGUUGGUGGGGUAAUGGCCUACCAAGGCGGCGACGGGUAGCCGGCCUGAGAGGGUGGACGGCGACAUUGGGACUGAGGCACGAGCCAGACGCCUACAGGAGGCAGCAGUGGGGAGUAUUGCACAGUGGGCGGAAGCCUGAUGCAGCGACGCCGGGUGGGGGAUGACGGCCUUCGGGUUGUAAACUCCUUUCACCAUCGACGCGGUAGAUGGAGAAGAAGCACCGGCUAACUACGUGCCAGCAGCCGCGGUAAUAC